CGAGCGCAUCGAAUGAACCGCGGAGCUUGCUGAGCGCUGGCGCUGGUAUUUCUAGAAUUUGCUCUGUGCCUAGCUUGGGCUAGAAGCUUUCCGAACGUUCUGUCAUUGAAUCCUCACUGCAUCCUACAUCUCACCGAGGAAAUACACACUGAAGAUUUGGGGGCAAAGGAGCGUCAUGUCUGCACUUUACUCCAGAUGGUUCUGAAGACGCCACACAGGCUCUCGUCUCUAUGGAGAGAGGACAGAGAGAAGGCUAAGGCCCUUGAGAGAAGCUGACCAGCUGGAUGCAGAGUCCGUCAGGAGGCGACACCGUGCUUGCCGGGAAGCGGUCGUGGCAGCUGAUCGGUCGAUGCUGCAGGUGUCUCAUGCAAGUUACAGCCUUUUAACCAUCUAAUCAGACGAUGUAGCCUCUUGCGGUGCUUCCCAUUUCUCGGUCCUGGUGUAAUGAAAUGGUGCAGCGUGGAGCUGGGUGCCGUCGUGGAAAGCCCAGAGACUCAGGCUCUCACUGCAGCUCUGUUACUGACGUGUGACCAGGAGCAAGCCACUUGCAAGAAAACUGAAAAAUAAAGGGACUGGAUUAGAGAUAUUUUUCUGCAAGAGCUAGAUGCUGUGGAAGAAUGUUGGUGUGACAUAGGUGAGAGGAGUCAUGCAUGACCUUCAGUCCUAAGGAGGGAGAAGGAAUUAUUUGUCGAAAAUAUGACAGGACUGUCAAAAAUAAUUUAAAUGAGGAACAUAAGUUGUGAAACAUGAGUCACCAUUCCGUUCACUCUGAGAUGCUAUAUUCACGGCAAACUUUUCGUCAAAAAAAAAGUGUAAGCGCCAUCGUGAAGUCUAUGGAUGACAACACUUAGUGACAAGAGCAAACUCCAUCAUGGCACUCAAGAAGCCAUCCCCCUACCCCACUCCCAGCCCAUUGGGAGGUUCUACCACUGAGCUGCAAGAGAAGCUCCCAAGAGGUGGCCAAUGAAAGCAAAGCUCUACUUUGCAUAUGCUGUUCCCACUGCCUAGAAUUCUUUUCCCUAUUCCUCUUCCCGCCUCAGGUCCUCAUCAUUCCUUCACUUGACUAAGUCUUACUCAUUCUCUGGUUCUCAAGGUAAAUGUCAUUGCCUUCAGGAAGCCUUCCUGGAAUCCCUAAAGUUCCUCAGGUCCCCCCAAUACAUCUCUCCUGGCCCUUGCACUUGCCCUCCAGGGCUUCAAUCAAAUGGGAACUUACUAAGUAUCAACAAAAUGAAAAGACAACCUGCUGAGUGAGAGAAGAUAUUCGCCAUUGAUACAGCCGAUAAAGGGUUAAUAUCCAAACUAUGUAAGGAACUCAUACAACUUAACACCAAAAAACCAA